GUUAUAUGGUCAAGCGAAUAAGCGCACACGGUGGAUGCCUUGGCGGUCAGAGGCGAUGAAGGACGUGGCAGCCUGCGAAAAGUAUCGGGGAGCUGGCAACAAGCUUUGAUCCGGUAAUGUCCGAAUGGGGAAACCCACCCGCUUGCGGGUAUCCUGCAGUGAAUACAUAGCUGCUGGAAGCGAACCUGGUGAACUGAAAUAUCUAAGUAACCAGAGGAAAAGAAAUCAACCGAGAUUCCGUAAGUAGCGACGAGCGAACGCGGACUAGCCCUUAAGCUGAUUUGGUUCUAGGAAAACGCUCUGGAAAGAGCGGCCAUAGAAGGUGAUAGCCCUGUAUCUGAAAGGGCCAUUUCAGUGAAGACGAGUAGGGCGGGGCACGUGAAACCCUGUCUGAACAUGGGGGACCAUCCUCCAAGGCUAAAUACUACUGACCGACCGAUAGUGAACCAGUACCGUGAGGGAAAGGCGAAAAGAACCCCGGAGAGGGGAGUGAAAUAGAACCUGAAACCGUGUGCGUACAAGCAGUAGGAGCUCCGCAAGGAGUGACUGCGUACCUUUUGUAUAAUGGGUCAGCGACUUACUGUUCGUGGCAAGCUUAACCGUAUAGGGGAGGCGAAGGGAAACCGAGUCUGAUAAGGGCGCAUAGUCGCGGGCAGUAGACCCGAAACCGGGUGAUCUAGUCAUGCCCAGGGUGAAGGUGCGGUAACACGCACUGGAGGCCCGAACCCACUCCCGUUGCAAAGGUAGGGGAUGAGGUGUGAUUAGGAGUGAAAAGCUAAUCGAACCCGGAGAUAGCUGGUUCUCCUCGAAAGCUAUUUAGGUAGCGCCUCAUAUGUAUCCUCUCGGGGUAGAGCACUGUUAUGGCUAGGGGGUCAUCGCGACUUACCAAACCAUUGCAAACUCCGAAUACCGAGACGGACUGUAUGGGAGACACACGGCGGGUGCUAACGUCCGUCGUGAAAAGGGAAACAACCCAGACCCACAGCUAAGGUCCCAAAUUUUGUGCUAAGUGGAAAACCAUGUGGAAAGGCACAGACAGCCAGGAGGUUGGCUUAGAAGCAGCCACCCUUUAAAGAAAGCGUAAUAGCUCACUGGUCGAGUCGGUCUGCGGGAAGAUUUAACGGGGCUAAGCACAGAACCGAAGCUUGGGGUGCAUAACUUUGUUAUGCGCGGUAGAGGAGCGUUCCGUAAGCCGUUGAAGGUGGAUUGAGAAGUCUGCUGGAGGUAUCGGAAGUGCGAAUGCUGACAUGAGUAACGAUAAUGCGGGUGAAAAACCCGCACGCCGAAAGCCCAAGGUUUCCUUGCGCAACGUUAAUCGGCGCAGGGUGAGUCGGCCCCUAAGGCGAGGACGAAAGUCGUAGUCGAUGGGAAGCAGGUUAAUAUUCCUGCACCUCGCGUAAGUGCGAUGGAGGGACGGAGAAGGUUAGGUGUACCAGGCGUUGGUUGUCCUGGGGAAAGGCGGUAGGUUUGGAUCUUUGGCAAAUCCGGGAUCCUCUAAGACCGAGCACCGAGACGAGCCUUUAUGGCAAAGUCACUGAUACCACGCUUCCAGGAAAAGCUCCUAAGCUUCAGCUUACGCAGACCGUACCGUAAACCGACACAGGUGGGUAGGAUGAGAAUUCUCAGGCGCUUGAGAGAACUCGGGUGAAGGAACUAGGCAACAUGGCACCGUAACUUCGGGAGAAGGUGCACCCUUUUUGGUGGCUCGUGCGAGCUAUAGCUGAAGAGGGUCGCAGUAACCAGGCCGCUGCGACUGUUUAUCAAAAACACAGCACUCUGCAAACACGAAAGUGGACGUAUAGGGUGUGACGCCUGCCCGGUGCUGGAAGGUUAAUUGAUGGGGUCAGCCGCAAGGCGAAGCUCUUGAUCGAAGCCCCAGUAAACGGCGGCCGUAACUAUAACGGUCCUAAGGUAGCGAAAUUCCUUGUCGGGUAAGUUCCGACCUGCACGAAUGGCGUAACGACAGCGGCGCUGUCUCCACCCGAGACUCAGUGAAAUUGAAAUCGCUGUGAAGAUGCAGCGUUCCCGUGGCAAGACGGAAAGACCCCGUGAACCUUUACUAUAGCUUUACACUGAACGUUGAGUUCGUCUGUGUAGGAUAGGUGGGAGGCUAUGAAACCAUGGCGCUAGCUGUGGUGGAGCCAUCCUUGAAAUACCACCCUGUCGUGCUUGACGUUCUAACCUGGGCCCAUUAUCUGGGUCGGGGACCGUGUAUGGUGGGUAGUUUGACUGGGGCGGUCUCCUCCUAAAGAGUAACGGAGGAGCUCGAAGGUACGCUCAGCGCGGUCGGACAUCGCGCACUGUGUGCAAAGGCAUAAGCGUGCUUGACUGCAAGAUCGACGGAUCAAGCAGGUAGGAAACUAGGACUUAGUGAUCCGGUGGUUCUGUAUGGAAGGGCCAUCGCUCAACGGAUAAAAGGUACUCCGGGGAUAACAGGCUGAUACCGCCCAAGAGUUCAUAUCGACGGCGGUGUUUGGCACCUCGAUGUCGGCUCAUCACAUCCUGGGGCUGUAGUCGGUCCCAAGGGUAUGGCUGUUCGCCAUUUAAAGUGGUACGCGAGCUGGGUUCAGAACGUCGUGAGACAGUUCGGUCCCUAUCUGCCAUGGGCGUUGGAGAUUUGAGAGGGGCUGCUCCUAGUACGAGAGGACCGGAGUGGACGAACCUCUGGUGUUCCGGUUGUCACGCCAGUGGCAUUGCCGGUAGCUAUGUUCGGAAGCGAUAACCGCUGAAAGCAUCUAAGCGGGAAGCGCGCCUCAAGAUGAGAUCUCCCGGGCACAAGCCCCCUGAAGGAACCAUGUAGACUACGUGGUUGAUAGGUCAGGUGUGUAAGUACAGCAAUGUAUUGAGCUAACUGAUACUAAUGAUCCGUGCGGCUUGACCAUAUAAACCUCAAG
rnacentral:rRNA from 1 species